AGGACGAACGCUGGCGGCGUGCUUAACACAUGCAAGUCGAGCGGAAAGGCCCUUCGGGGUACUCGAGCGGCGAACGGGUGAGUAACACGUGAGCAACCUGCCCCUAGCUCUGGGAUAGCUCCGGGAAACCGGGAUUAAUACCGGAUACGACCACCUUAGACAUCUUUUGUGGUGGAAAGAAUUUCGGCUAGGGAUGAGCUCGCGGCCUAUCAGCUUGUUGGUGGGGUAACGGCCUACCAAGGCGACGACGGGUA
rnacentral:rRNA from 1 species